CAUAAUGGCCCUGUGCGUCUACUGUCAAUCUGAGAAAUGAUUAAAAAUGUUAGUUUCUCAUAGACGUGUCUCUUUCUAGUCCUCUCUCUACUUUUUGAUCUGUGACUCAGUACUUGACAGGCUACUGUGUGUCUCAUGCUUCCUGUGCUGCUCUGUUUUGUGUCACAGUCGAAGCCCCGCCCACUUCCUGUCUAUGCCUGCCUCCAGAAGCCGUGAGGCAUAACACACACCUUUACCUGUACACACACGGACGCGCUCCAGUUGCUCGGAAUCAUCGUAUGCUUUUACAGGUUAAGUGGAAAACUGUAUUUCACAAUUCAGUAACUUUAGGAGAAUAUAUUCCUUCUGCUUCCUGUGGGGGCUUGGAGGAUGCAGACCCCCGGUCUUAAACCUGAAGGUUGAUAUUCCCAGGGGUUUGGGGGUCAUUAGUGGCCACAUAUGGGCAUGAGAAUCGACCAUGUCUGGGCUUUGGAGUCGGGUCACACCCUUCCUGAGCAGGAGUAAACAAGAGUGCCAUCAACGUGUCCCAUCAGUCUCCUGGGACUUUAAACGCAGACCGGACCAGACCUCUAUUUGUAAGGAAGACAGAAGGGGAGAUAACAGCUCGGGGCAACUGUGCUGGAUCUCUUUGAACUUGGCCUCUUUUUAAUGUGUCCUCGAGCGUGCUUAAUUUGCCAUACAGCUAUAGAGAAGAGGGAUAAAAGAUGGAGAAAUAACAAAAUUGCUUAAAGCCAUCCUAAAGCCUUGAGCCUGGAAAAUGCCUUGAAGUCCUCGGAGUCGCUUGAGGCGUACGUUCACAGAAUUAUGUUUUUCAGAACAUUGUUGAAAUGUGAGUACCAUAAGAUCUUAAAAGAAAAUAAGAAAAUUCUCAAAAGUUCCAUUCUUGUUUUAUAUCUUGAUAUAUGUUGAUUUGAAUUGUUAAUAAUAAGAAAGAAGAACAAAUGCAACAAAUACAUCUAUACUGAUAACGCAAAGAGAUCUCAGAUGUUUGAGUCGAAUCUGUUUGUUCACUCUGUCAGGAUGAUUUUAUUAAAUGCUUUGCUGAGUAAUGUUCCCCAAAACCAUAUUCUUCUGUAUAUCACUGACGGGUGGUGAAAUGGGACUGUGCUACACUGUGUCAGCACCUCUCCAGUAACCUGUCAAUCACACAGACUUCCUGCUGUCCCACUGCUCUGUUGAGUUAUUAUAUCUGUCACAGUCAUGAGACUUCAGCUGUGUGUGUGUGUAUGUGUGUGUGUGUGUGUGUGUGUGUGUGUGCGUGUGUUCGAGCGUGCGUGUGUGUAUGUGUGGCCUUGUUUUAUAUCCCGGUGGGGACCUAAACCUGAACGCAUCAUGCAGUGUGUGAUACUAUGCUAUAUAAUACUAGAUCGAAAGUGUCAUGACCAUUUAUGCUCAAUAUUUUCUAUAAUAACAAUGUUUAUAUAUAUAUAUGUUUGUGUGUGUGUGUGUGUGUGCGCGUGUGCGUGUAGUACAUAUAUAGUUAUUAUAUGAAUUUUAUAUUAUAUAUUCUUUAUAUAUUGUAUAUAUUCUUUACGCAUAAACACAUCAAAUUCUUCUCGUUUAUGAUUAAUUAGGCUAUAAAUAGAUGGAUUUUAUUUUAAAAUGUUUUAUGUACAUUUUGUGUGUCAUGUUUGACUCAGAUUAGUUUUUAGUUGAAUUUCCCAUAAAAAAGAUCUUGUGCCACAUCUUUACACCCACACUAAGCUCAACGCCUAAACGGUUAAAUAGAAACUGACAAGAACAAUUCAUUCGAUUGGGUCCGCAUCCAUAAGGUGUUAACAUACACCUCUGCUAAUCAAGUGAGCCUGUUUACUAACCGGCACCCUGUCACGGUUUAAGAUUCACAACUUCACCCUGCAGCUUUUACUUUCCAUUGCUGCCCCUUACACUGACCAAAAUAAACCCUCAAGUUGUUUUUAGCAUUGAAAUGUACUCCUCUCUCCUCUCUGCCAGAUGUAGCAUUCUGUGUCCCAUGCCUCUCCUAAUAACCGUUCUGUAAGUGACUUCCUCUCCAAAAAGAAAGAAUCUAUACAAGACGCACCA